rnacentral:rRNA from 1 species
GAUGAACGCUGGCGGCGUGCCUAAUACAUGCAAGUCGAGCGAACAGAUGUGGAGCUUGCUCCUCUGACGUUAGCGGCGGACGGGUGAGUAACACGUGGAUAACCUACCUAUAAGACUGGGAUAACUUCGGGAAACCGGAGCUAAUACCGGAUAAUAUCUUUAACCGCAUGGUUCAAUAUUGAAAGACGGUUUUGCUUUCACUUAUAGAUGGAUCCGCGCCGCAUUAGCUAGUUGGUAAGGUAACGGCUUACCAAGGCAACGAUGCGUAGCCGACCUAAGAGGGGGAUCGGCCACACUGGAACUGAGACACGGUCAAGACUCCUACGGGAGGCAGCAGAAGGGAAUCUUCCGCAAAGGGCGAAAGCCUGACGGAGCAAAGCCGCGUGAGUGAUGAAGGUCUUCGGAUCGUAAAACUCUGUUAUUAGGGAAGAACAAAUGUGGAAGUAACUAUGCACGUAUUGACGGUACCUAAUCAGAAAGCCACGGCUAACUACGUG